rnacentral:rRNA from 2 species
CCUACCCAUCAGAGGGGGAUAACACUUGGAAACAGGUGCUAAUACCGCAUAACAGUUUAUGCCGCAUGGCAUAAGAGUGAAAGGCGCUUUCGGGUGUCGCUGAUGGAUGGACCCGCGGUGCAUUAGCUAGUUGGUGAGGUAACGGCUCACCAAGGCCACGAUGCAUAGCCGACCUGAGAGGGUGAUCGGCCACACUGGGACUGAGACACGGCCCAG